UACGGAGGGGGCUAGCGUUGUUCGGAAUUACUGGGCGUAAAGCGCACGUAGGCGGCUUUGUAAGUUAGAGGUGAAAGCCCGGAGCUCAACUCCGGAACUGCCUUUAAGACUGCAUCGCUUGAAUCAUGGAGAGGUCAGUGGAAUUCCGAGUGUAGAGGUGAAAUUCGUAGAUAUUCGGAAGAACACCAGUGGCGAAGGCGACUGACUGGACAUGUAUUGACGCUGAGGUGCGAAAGCGUGGGGAGCAAACAGG
rnacentral:rRNA from 1 species